GGGUUGUGCACAGCAGUGGUGCAUCUGCAAGAAAAUCUAUCGGGCCGUCCAUUGGACGGCCCUUUUUUUCGGACCGC
rnacentral:sRNA from 1 species